AAUAAACGCUGGCGGCGUGCCUAACACAUGCAAGUCGAGCGAGAAAGCUCCUUCGGGAGUUAGUAAAGCGGCGAACGGGUGAGCAACACGUGAGAAUCUACCCUUUAGUGAAGAAUACCCUCGAGAAAUCGAGGCUAAUACUGCAUACGUCCCUUCGGGGAGAAAGAUGGCCUCUUUGCUAUCGCUAAAGGAUGAGCUUGCGUACUAUUAGCUAGUUGGCGGGGUAAAGGCCCACCAAGGCAAUGAUGGUUAACCGGCCUGAGAGGGUGUACGGUCACACUGGAACUUAGACACGGUCCAGACUCCUACGGGAGGCAGCAGUGAGGAAUCUUGCGCAAUGGGCGAAAGCCUGACGCAGCGACGCCGCGUGGAGGAUGACGGUUUUCGGAUUGUAAACUCCUGUCGAGGGGGAGGAAGCCGCAAGGUUGACCGAUCCCUGGAGGAAGGACGGGCUAAGUUCGUG
rnacentral:rRNA from 1 species